rnacentral:rRNA from 1 species
UUCCAGACUCCUACGGGAGGCAGCAGUGGGGAAUAUUGCACAAUGGGGGAAACCCUGAUGCAGCGACGCCGCGUGAGUGAAGAAGUAUUUCGGUAUGUAAAGCUCUAUCAGCAGGGAAGAAAAUGACGGUACCUGACCAAGAAGCCCCGGCUAACUACGUGCCAGCAGCCGCGGUAAUACGUAGGGGGCAAGCGUUAUCCGGAUUUACUGGGUGUAAAGGGAGCGUAGACGGCUGAGCAAGUCAGAAGUGAAAGCCCGGGGCUCAACCCCGGGACUGCUUUUGAAACUGCGGAGCUGGAGUGCAGGAGAGGUAAGCGGAAUUCCUGGUGUAGCGGUGAAAUGCGUAGAUAUCAGGAGGAACACCAGCGGCGAAGGCGGCUUACUGGACUGUAACUGACGUUGAGGCUCGAAAGCGUGGGGAGCAAACAGGAUUAGAUACCCCAGUAU